rnacentral:rRNA from 1 species
CCUACGGGGGGCUGCAGUGGGGAAUAUUGGACAAUGGGCGAAAGCCUGAUCCAGCCAUGCCGCGUGUGUGAAGAAGGCCUUCGGGUUGUAAAGCACUUUCAGUGGGGAAGAAAGCCUUGGGGCUAAUACCCUCGAGGAAGGACAUCACCCACAGAAGAAGCACCGGCUAACUCCGUGCCAGCAGCCGCGGUAAUACGGAGGGUGCGAGCGUUAAUCGGAAUUACUGGGCGUAAAGCGCGCGUAGGCGGUCUGAUAAGCCGGUUGUGAAAGCCCCGGGCUCAACCUGGGAACGGCAUCCGGAACUGUCAGGCUAGAGUGCAGGAGAGGAGGGUAGAAUUCCCGGUGUAGCGGUGAAAUGCGUAGAGAUCGGGAGGAAUACCAGUGGCGAAGGCGGCCUUCUGGACUGACACUGACGCUGAGGUGCGAAAGCGUGGGUAGCAAACAGGAUUAGAUACCCUAGUAGUC